CGAAUCCCGUGCGGGUAACUGCUAGCCACAGGCCCGGUAUCGAGCCUUGCAGGCGCACUGGCAACAGGACGCUUGAUGCGUAGGCGCGAAAGCAAGCGAGGUGGAAUGGCGGCCAGGUGCUGCCGUGAAGGCUGAAGUCCCGAAAUGACCGCGUGGGAGCGGGCCGAUGGUUUCAAGAUGCCAGCAGGCAACAGCGUGCCGUGCGAAAUGGCGAGCGCGGUGCGCCCACCCGGGAUCUCAGGCCC
rfam:Betaproteobacteria bacterium RIFCSPLOWO2_12_FTLL_62_58 rifcsplowo2_12_scaffold_4554, whole genome shotgun sequence.